CCCUUCACGUAACUCCCUCCCACGGCUGUCCCCGUCAGUGGUUACGAGUCUUAAAUGGGUGGCACUGGGGUUCACCGUGAAGUACCAAGAUCAUUCCAUCACACCUUCUGAAGUUACUUUCACCAACAAAGGCUGGCUUUGGGAUUUUCCCUAUAAAAGCUAAUUCUCAUCUUCCUUAGAAUUCUUAAAUAGCUCAGCAGGUAUUUGUGAUCUGGUAUAAACAAGGAAACCAUUUGCUUCGGAAGAAAUAAAUUUCCUUUAAGUGCGUACACCUUCACAAAACCCAGCCAUUGCUCUCAGCACUUUUUCCCAGCAUUUUGGGGGCCCAUCUACCUCGUCAAAUGCUACACAAAAGACUUUUUUUUCUGGAAACAACUUCCAGCAAGGGAUUAGCACCAGUUCUGAGAUUCCAUUUGUCUUGUUUACAUUCCUUGUGCAAUUUCAGAACACUGUGUUCCCUUUCUUGUAAUUGCACAACAAAGGCCCUGCCACACAGCACUGGAGACUCGUCCCACUCAGCGCCAGGAUUUCCUUCGGGCUGGUAUUCUUUGCAGACGGCUCUGGGACCUCCAGGUGGGCUGGCUCAGGGAAGAGAACAUGGGCUUCAGAGACAGUCCGAUAAACCUGGGCUCAAGGUCUCUGGCUGCAUUUCGUGAUGAACUUGAUUAAUCUGACUCUGGGGCUUUUUUUUUUUUUUUUCUUCUGUAAAAUGGAAACAGUAAAAUUGCAGUCUUUGUGGGAUCACUGUGAAGAUGGACUAAGACAAGACGUGUAGAUCCUUCAGCACAGUGCCGGACAAUCUUAAGUACUCCAAUAAAUGAAGUCAUUAUUUUAAUUACGGUGCUCAGGGACUGUGCAGCGUUCUUUUCUUCAUUGUGAUCUCCAACUCCUAAAGGCUCUGCCUUUGCUUAAAAGUCUCCCAACAAACACGCACAAAUGUUCCACCAGAGGAGGUGCUAAGUGAUAGGAGUCUUGGCUUUCGUAGCUGUUUUUUAGAAUAUUCCAUGGCUUGGCCAAAAAGGCUGUCUUGGUCACUCUUUGAAUCAGUGUUGCUCUCGUAACAUCUCUAGAGACAGAGGGACACCCGACUGUUGAUGGUGAAGAAGCGGGUAUGUGAAGGGAAGAGACGUGGGCCCUGUUAUGAUGAUGACAGGAACACAGUGACCUGAAACAGCUGCUGUGUCUCUCACCCUUUGCGUGGUUGAAGAGGAGAGGGUGUGGCCGCCGAUCAUAGGCUAUUGAAUCCAUUGUCAUCAAACUUCCUGUAUGUGGGGGUUACUCUAUCAGGAUGAAGACCCCAGGCUGGCCCCGAGCAGUCUGAGAGGCCUUCUGUGGCCCUGGAAACACGGAUCGGACUUGAGAGCCAUGCUGCAGACACACAGAAUGAACGUCUCAGGAGGAUGCGUAUGCCCAGCUGGAAAGAAUCUGGAAAACCGACCCCUUAAAAAUUGCAAGCAGGCGUUCCCUGAGAGAGAUUAAACUUAAGUGUGCCUUUGGGGCAGACUGUUCCCACUUACACAGGCCCUCGCCAUGAACCAGAUGGAACACUGUGUGCUGUGCCGGGGCCCUGUCAUUGCCCCCUUUUUGGCGGCACUGACGGAAGGUGGCACGAAGAGGGCAGAAAUGAUUCCUGGCUCCAUGUGGACUUGGAGCGAGUUGCACUGAAACCCCACAGUACUGUUUGGACUGUGUUGGGCAGAGUGACGUGACCCGCAUUCGCCUUCAAGAAGCUCACAGUCUCAUAGGAAAAAAUGGAUCUGCUGACCCAUCAAUCAUCCUGCAUACGAAUGGCCAUGCUACAAACAUGAGUGGGGGGCACAGAGGAAGCAUCCAGGCCAGAAGAGCUCCUGUCCUCUGGGGAGGGCUUCUCGAGAAGGGAGCAAGAGUGAGAGAGGGGGCUGGUCAGGAAAAGCUGCUGAGUGGGUUUUGGCUGAAAUCCUUCUGCCUGGAGCAGAGCGGACCACCCCCCCCCCGCCCCCCGCCCCGGAAGCUGCUCCUGGUCUUCGCACAAAGGAGUUAGCAGACUGUGCCCAUGCCUACACUGGGUACAUUCUUGGGCACUGUUUUGGUGGAGACAUAGAACCCAGGCUUUUGUUGUUGUUUCUGGGGAGGGGAUGUGGAAGUGGACUGAGCAAAAGUGCUUAAGAUAAUAGUCACAAAAGCAGCCAGGAUUCUCUCUUGCGGCCUGUCCCUAGGGAUGGAAACCUGGAGGGGCCUGUGUUCCCAGACACCAGGUUGUAGAGUAAACACAGGAAUGGAAAUAAUGUGGGAGGCAUAUGAGGAAGGGAGAUGGUGACUGGAGAAGAUCAAGAGGAAGCAGGGGUUGGGACUGACUGCCCGAGGGGACGCACACAGUCCUGAGGAGCCCCAGGAAGGUCACACACUGAGGAGGGGGGUGUGUGUGUGACUAAAGGGACACAAGAGGGGCACCCAGGGCGGAACGCUUCGUUGAUUGCAUAACCCUGAGAGUGGAGAGAUGCUUCUUUGCGGCACGGGGGUGGGUGCAUUUGCUUUUCCAGUCACCUGUUGGGCUUGGGUGCCAGCUAAAGAAGGGACUGUGAGGGCUGACUCCUUAUAUGUGGGUAGGAACCCUAUUCAAAGACUUUUUUUUUUCUUCCACCUAUUGUUUCCCUAAGCCUCAUAUCAGCCCUGUGAGAUAGGUGGGGCAGGGAUUAUUGACUCUGCUGCAGGUGAGAAAACAAGAGAGGCUAGGCCGAGGGCCAAGGACACCCGGGUAACAGUGCUUGGCUCCUAUACCCAGGCUGACCCCUUCUUGACCUCCCUUCCCCGAGGGGCUCGUUCCUAGUCCAGUCAUGGUCAAGGAGAUCGAGUGCCUCGCCUUUUUGCAAACUAUGGAAACAGGAUUGGUUAAACUGGCAAGUUACUUUCAGCGAUACCUUAGGGAAACAACACACAGGGAGCAGCAAGUCGAAUGUGUGGAAGUACCCAGUGGAGGGCUUAGAAACAGCGGAACGGAUGUACACGUGACAGCGUGUCUGGGUCUGAAGAAGGCGGUGCUGAGUGAAAAGAGUAAGAAGUAGCAAGAGAUACAUGACACACUUGGCUUCAGGUAAAUUAAAAAUAUGUGCAUAGGGCGCCUGGGUGGCUCAGUUGGUUAAGCGACUGCCUUCAGCUCAGGUCAUGAUCCUGG